rnacentral:rRNA from 1 species
GGAUAACCUGCCCUAUCGUCUGGAAUAACCUCGGGAAACUGAGAAUAAGGCCGGAUAGUUCACAAAGCCUGGAACGGUUUGUGAAUCAAGGUAGGAUGGGUCUGCGGCGUAUCAGGUAGUAGGGGGUGUAAAGGACCCCCUAGCCUUCGACGCGUACGGGUGUUGGGAGACAUAGCCCGGAGAUGGAUUCUGAGACACGAAUCCAGACCCUACGGGGUGCAGCAGGCGCGAAAACUUCACACUGCAGGAAACUGUGAUGAGGGAACUCCAAGUGUGUGCACUAUGUGUACACUUUUAUGAACUUUUAAUCGGUUCAGGAAUAAGGGCUGGGGAAGACCGGUGCCAGCCGCCGCGGUAAUACCGGCAGCUCAAGUGGUCGUCGCUUUUAUUGGGCCUAAAACGUCCGUAGCCUGUUUGGUAAAUCUGUGGGUAAAUCAACUCGCUCAACGAGUUGAAUUCUGCAGAGACUGCCAGACUAGGGACCGGGAGAGGUGUGGGGUACUCGAGGGGUAGGGGUAAAGUCCUGUCAUCCUUCGAGGACCACCAGUUGCGAAGGCGCCACACUGGAACGGAUCCGACGGUCAGGGACGAAGCCUAGGGGCACGAACCGGAUUAGAUACCCGGGUAGUCCUAGGUGUAAACGCUGUGAACUUGGUGUCGGGGGUCCGCAAGGGGUCCCCGGUGCCGGAGUGAAGAUGUUAAGUUCACUGCCUGGGGAGUACGGUCGCAAGGCUGAAACUU